AGCGUAAUCACUUGUUCUUUAAUUGUGGACUAGUAUGAAUGGCACCACGAGGGUUAUACUGUCUCCUUUUUCUAAUCAGUGAAACUAAUCUCCCCGUGAAGAAGCGAGGAUAUAAAUAUAAGACGAGAAGACCCUAUGGAGCUUAAAACAUCAUAGCAACUGCCACUACAACAUAUAAAUUUCUGAAUGCUUUACUCUUUCGGUAAAAUGACUAUAAGUUUUUGGUUGGGGUGACCACGGAGCAUAAAACAACCUCCACAUUGAAAGACUUAAAACCUCUAAGCUAAGACCUACAAAUCUAGGCAUCAGCACACUGACAUUCAUUGACCCAAUAUAAUUGAGCAACGAACCAAGUUACCCUAGGGAUAACAGCGCAAUCCACUUCAAGAGCCCCUAUCGACAAGUGGG
rnacentral:rRNA from 1 species